AGUGAACGCUGGCGGCGUGCCUAAUACAUGCAAGUCGAACGGAGUGGCGCACGGGUGAGUAAUAUAUAGCUAAUCUGCCCCUUGCUGGAGGACACCAGUUAGAAAUGACUGCUAAUACUCCAUAGCCAGGUGUGAGACUAUAUCGUAUCAGCUAGUCGGUGGGGUAACGGCCUACCGAGGCUAUGACGCGUAACUGGUCUGAGAGGAUGAUCAGUUAAAUUGGAACUGAGACACGGUGGGAACUCCUACGGAAGGGAGCAGCAGGGAAUGUGUCGCAAUGGGGGGAGUGCUGACGCAGCAACGCCGCGUGAAGGAUGAUAAUUGUCGGGGCAUAAAUUCCUGUUAUUAGGGAAGCGGUACCUAAAGAAUAAGCACCGGCUAACUCCGUGCCAGCAGCCGCGGUAAUAC
rnacentral:rRNA from 1 species